rnacentral:rRNA from 1 species
GAUGAACGCUGGCGGCGUGCUUAACACAUGCAAGUCGAACGAUGAAGCCCAGCUUGCUGGGUGGAUUAGUGGCGAACGGGUGAGUAACACGUGAGUAACCUGCCCUUAACUCUGGGAUAAGCCUGGGAAACUGGGUCUAAUACCGGAUAGGAGCGUCCACCGCAUGGUGGGUGUUGGAAAGAUUUAUCGGUUUUGGAUGGACUCGCGGCCUAUCAGCUUGUUGGUGAGGUAAUGGCUCACCAAGGCGACGACGGGUAGCCGGCCUGAGAGGGUGACCGGCCACACUGGGACUGAGACACGGCCCAGAAUCCUACGGGAGGCAGCAGUGGGGAAUAUUGCACAAUGGGCGCAAGCCUGAUGCAGAGACGCCGCGUGAGGGAUGACGGCCUUCGGGUUGUAAACCUCUUUCAGUAGGGAAGAAGCGAAAGUGACGGUACCUGCAGAAGAAGCACCGGCUAACUACGUG